GAUGAACGCUGGCGGCGUGCCUAAUACAUGCAAGUCGAGCGAACGGACGAGAAGCUUGCUUCUCUGAUGUUAGCGGCGGACGGGUGAGUAACACGUGUAUAACCUACCUAUAAGACUGGGAUAACUUCGGGAAACCGGAGCUAAUACCGGAUAAUAUUUUGAACCGCAUGGUUCAAAAGUGAAAGACGGUCUUGCUGUCACUUAUAGAUGGAUCCGAGCUGCAUUAGCUAGUUGGUAAGGUAACGGCUUACCAAGGCAACGAUGCAUAGACGACGUGAGAGGGUGAUAGGCCACAUUGGAAGGGGGACACGGUCCAGACGCCUACGGGAGGCAGCAGUAGGGAAUCUUCCGCAAUGGGCGAGAGCCUGACGGAGCAAGCCCACGUGAGUGAUGAAGGUCUUCGGAGCGGAAAACUCUGUUAUUAGGGAAGAACAGAUGUGUAAGUAACUGUGCACAGCUUGACGGUACCUAAUCAGAAAGCAACGGCUAACUACGUG
rnacentral:rRNA from 1 species